AGACAACUUGUCAGGGAGGCGAGGGGAGAUCGAAAUCAAAUUACUUGACUGUUUCUAGACGAGAAGAUUUAUCCACCUUUGUAUUUUGGUAUAAGGAUAACGUUCCCAUUCACAUGAAUGUUAGAGUAACUAAGCUUGCUUCUAAUACUUCGUUGGAUCACUCUCUAUGCAUAUAUUAAGUGUAUGGACUGAUGGACACAUUAGCCUUGAUAUUCAAAAGUUAAAUGCCGAAAUACAAGCUAUUCAAGAGGCCCACCUGGACGAAGAUGGACCCCAGAAUUUGAUUCAAGGAUUAUUAGAUCAACUACAAGGGCUAAACCCGAUACAAUGGAUUCA